GGAAGGAUCAUUACCACUAAUCCAAUUCAUCUAAACCUAGCCUCUAGUUGCAGCAUCUGAGCUAGCUAGCUCUUGCAGGCUGGCUUCACCUGCUGCAUCUAUCAAAGCUAAUCACACAAAGGACCAUUCACUAAGACCUAUCAUCAAAACCAAAUUCUCAACGAUGGAUAUCUUGGUUCCCAUAACGAUGAAGAACGCAGCGAAGUGCGAUAAGCAAUGCGAAUUGCAGAACCGUGAGUCAUCAGAUUUUUGAACGCAACUGGCGCUAAUUGGAAUCCCAGUUAGCAUGCUUGUUUCAGUGUCUUAUCAUCUCCUCACCCAGAUCUUAAUGCUAGAGAUACCCUUCUCUGGUUAAGUAUGGAAGCGCUCUGCGCUCUGCAAGCGGCUUCUUUCGAAGUCGCACUCAAUGCAGCAGUCACAUUGUUCUCAAUGUGAACUCAUUGAGAGUAGAGGCAGUGCAGCUCAUGCUGCAAGUGCUUAGAGACCUUAAACUUUUCUUUCAUCUGAAAUCAAGCAGGACCACCCGCUGAACUUAAGCAUAUCACUAAGCGGAGGAAAAGAAAUUAACUAAGAUUGCCUCAGUAACGGCGAGUGAAGCGGCAAAAGCCCAAAGUGGAAAUCUUCGUGCCUCGCACGACGAAUUGUAAUCUAGAGGUGGGUAACUCACCUUGAGGAGGCGCAGAAGUUGCUUAGAAUAGCACGCCAUAGAGGGUGACAGCCCCGUAUGUGGUGCCUCCUCAUAACGAGUUCCUUUCGAAGAGUCGGGUUGUUUUGAAUUGCAGCCCUAAGCGGGAGAUAGACUUCUUCUAAGGCUAAAUAUAUAUGGGAAACCGAUAGCGAACAAGUACUGUGAAGGAAAGAUGAAAAGCACUUUGAAAAGAGAGUCAAAAGACUUGAAAUUGUUGAGAAGGAAGGAGUAGAAGUUUAUUCUUCUGCCUGGAAUGAAGGUGUUCGUCAAACCAUUGGAGUGUGCCAGCACGUCAAAGGCUGCUAGCUCCACUUGGGGAAGCGAUAGCUGGAUUCCAGGCGAGAGGCAAAAUGAGGUUCUACGUCCACAAAAGCUGGCUGUCUAUAGGCGGCCUCUGCUGGUGGAAGUAUUGCCUGAGGAGCUUCGUGCGAUUUUGCCAAAAUGGCUUUUACUCACCCGUCUUGAAACACGGACCAAGGAGUUUAACAAAUAUGCGAGUGUGCUGGUGGAGAAACCAACACGCGUAAUGAAAGUAAUAGAUGCCAAGCGCAAGCAGCAGCAUCGACCGACCAUGAUCCUCUGGUGAAAGGUUUGAGUAUGAGCAUAUCUGUUAAGACCCGAAAGAUGGUGAACUAUGCCUGGGUAGGGUGAAGCCAGGGGAAACUCUGGUGGAGGCUCGUAGCGGUUCUGACGUGCAAAUCGAUCGUCAAACUUGGGUAUAGGGGCGAAAGACUAAUCGAACCAUCUAGUAGCUGGUUCCCUC
rnacentral:misc_RNA from 1 species